UGCAUAAUGUCAUCAUCUGCACACCUCUGGAAACCAGCUCCAGAGCAGACUUUUGGUAGGUCACAUUAAUAUAGAUGGUGAAGAGCAGGGGGAAUCUAAUAAAGAUCCAUUAAUCUUAACCAGGGAGGCAGAGUAGGGAUUAAUAUUCUACAACGUUAGGUCAGCUGUUAUGUUUUAUGAAGUGUUUCCACUUUUAUAGUAACCCUGGAUUUUAGGACUUUGCUCAGCAUGAAGUCAUAAUUUAAUUAUGGGUUUGACAUGCUGAGUGCAGCUGUCACAGCGGUGGUUGUAGAACAAUCAGGAUGACACAGCUCGUCUUUCAUUAUAUAAGUUUAUAUAACCGCUUAUUAAAAUGCUUGAAAAGGCAGUUGAACUCAGAAGGGAAGGUAAAACGAAUAGACUGGAUGUGAAAAUGAAAGUUAGAGCAACUAGAAAGCUUGUUUAUCCACAGACUGAUGAACAGAACGGGUCUCAUAAGCACUUAUAAAAUGGGUUUAUGUGUCACAAUAAGCCUGGAUUAAAAUGCAAAGAGCAGGGAUUUAGAUUUAAAACCCUGACAACGCUGUAAUUUCAUCACAGCAUUUCAGAUGCGAGACUGUCACGACGCUCAAGGUGUAAAUUAGAUUCACAUUUAACCUUCUAAUGUGAAACUAUAGGGCAAAAUAUCACGUUUGUAGAAAGGUAGCAGAAUAAACAGAAACCUUAACUGAAAACAAAAACAAAAACCUGACAGAUGAGAAAACCACAAUAAAAGUAAACCAUCUGGCAACGGUUUGGUAAAAACCAAAGGCUAGUUAUGCAAAGUAGUGGUUAGUGAUAGCAGCUGGGCUAAUGAAUGGAGUGGAGACAGGUGCGCGAUAAGCUGAUCAAGUCUUAGGGAAAUAAAGAAGAAAGGGAAAAAGAAAAUGAAUAAGAAAAGGUAAAAAGUGGAUCCCAGGUAAGGCAGAAAUUGGUAGAAAGAGCUGAAUGAAGAGAAGGAAGUGAAGAAGAACCAACUGAAGGUCACACAAAAAUCAGUGUGAACAGGAUGGAGGUACAAGAGAAUUAGAGCAGACUAAAAUCAGCCAUCAGACUGUUGAACAGCUCGGACCAGAGGCUGCUGCUGUUGUGUCCUUGGGCAAGACACUUAACCCGCCUUGCCUGCUGGUGGUGGUCGGAGGGACUUGUGGUGCCAGUGUUCGGCAGGCCUUGCCUCUCAGCGUGUGAAAUGGUCAAUGAGUGUGUUGUGAUGCGCUUUGGGGGUCUGUAGAACCCUGAGAAGGCGCUAUAUAAAUACAGGCCGUUUACCAUUUCUUAGAGUUCACUGGUUCAGCAACACAUUGUCACUCCCAGCAGGUCAAAAACAAACGCUUGGUCAGCCACCCUCCGCGUCAGACCCCUGACGCAGAACGUGCCCUUUUUCGUCACUUAUGUGUGAAAAUGGAUUUUCCCUUUUCUGACUGCAGAUUCCAAUGCAGCGUAAAACUGACGCGAUGGGAUGUUCGCUGAUGCGGCACCGAACCAUCUCAUAUAUCCGCACCUGAACCUUAACUUUUUACUAUUUAUAACCUUCCCCUCACCCUCAUCCUAACCUUCACCCUCUUGCCACCUAAAACGUUACUCUCACUGUGAUCAAGCGUUUGUUUCCCCUGCAUUCUGACUGUGAAUUUUCGUAUUUGCCGCCCAAGGGGAAUGUUAGAACAUACCAUCUGGCGAGGGGGAGGUUACAAAUACCCUCUACUUUUAAUGUCCACCGUGGUAGUUGAAACCUCCCUCUCACGUUGGCACAAACUCGACCAAUGACGAGGCGGCUCCCGCCGUUCACUUCAUAGAGCCGGCAUUUAGAGCGAUCGACACGUCACUAACGUGUUCGCUAGCAAGAUAAGAUAGGUUAGGAUAGGGGUGAGGGGAAGGUUAAAUAAGAGGAUAAGGUUAGGGUGAGGUACAAUGAGCUUGUUUGGUGCCCUGGCUGCGGACAUCCCAUUGCGUCAGUUUUACGCUGCAUUGGGAUCUGCAGUCAGAAAAGGGAAAAACCCCUUUUAAGUGACGAAAAAGGGCACUUUUGGUGUCAGGGGUCUGAGGCGGAGGGUGGCUGACUUUGUUUUUGACGCGCUGGGAGUGAGAAUGUGGGUUGAAAUCAUCGACAUAGAAUUAUAAAUAAUUGAAAUCCAUGUUCAGCAGGUCAUUAAGCUCAAUGGAAGCUUGCAAAUAACUCCCAGAUUAAAUUAAGCCUAGAGAAAUCUCUAAAACUAGAUAGGACCCUUGGAGGACCUCUAGUCCAGGUACACCUGUAGAAAACAUUUAUAUACUUCAGUCUCAUUUGUUGGACACUAAAAAUCAAAUAAAUCCAUAUUAGUAUUUCAUAUCUGACAAAUCUGUCAAAUGUUUUCUGCCCUCUGGUGGACAUUCUAAAUAUGAAAAAUCACAUUGUGUGUUAUUAUUGAUAAUUCUACUUAAACAGCUCAACUAAAUAAAAUCUGAAUAUUAUUUCAUGCUGGUUUUAGAGGCUUAAUUUUGUCAUAAC